rnacentral:lncRNA from 1 species
GGGGAUCUCUUCUUGUUAUUUUUGGUUUGCAAAAUGCUGUUCAGCGGCAGAUCGUCGUCACUUGUAAUGUCAAUGUAGUCAUCAAACUUUUUCUUGGUUAUCCUUCUUUUUUUCUUUUGCGAUUCUGUGGGCUGCAACUCCAUCGUAGAUUUUUUCUUUCUAGACGGAAUUUUCUUUUUNGAUUUCUCGGGUGAAUGUUUCUUUUCCUCCACUUCAGUCGGCUCUUCUUCAAUAUCUCCAACAUCGAUGCUUUCCAUUGGUUCCAUUUUUUCGAUUGCAUUUGCUACGAUAUUGAGAUUUCCUCGUUGAUCAAAUUUUAUAGACUUGAGCAUCGUCAUGAAGCGCAUUUCUGUGUACGCUUGUGUGCUUAGUCGUCUAUAGUAUGUGGAUUCUGUUUCACCCUGUGAAAAUAUAUAAUUGUUAUAAUUAUGUAAUAUCGA